rnacentral:rRNA from 1 species
UCGAGAAUCAUUCACAAUGGGCGAAAGCCUGAUGGUGUGACGCCGCGUGGAGGAUGACGGUCUUCGGAUUGUAAACUCCUGUCAAGUGGGAGUAAAGCUUGGUGUUAACUGCAUCCAAGUCUGAGAGUACCACUAGAGGAAGAGACGGCUAACUCUGUGCCAGCAGCCGCGGUAAUACAGAGGUCUCAAGCGUUGUUCGGAAUCACUGGGCGUAAAGGGUGCGUAGGCUGUGUUGUAAGUCAGAGGUGAA